CCUACGGGUGGCAGCAGUGGGGAAUAUUGGACAAUGGGCGAAAGCCUGAUCCAGCCAUGCCGCGUGUGUGAAGAAGGCCUUCGGGUUGUAAAGCACUUUCAGUGGGGAAGAAAGCCUUGGGGCUAAUACCCUCGAGGAAGGACAUCACCCACAGAAGAAGCACCGGCUAACUCCGUGCCAGCAGCCGCGGUAAUACGGAGGGUGCUAGCGUUAAUCGGAAUUACUGGGCGUAAAGCGCGCGUAGGCGGUCUGAUAAGCCGGUUGUGAAAGCCCCGGGCUCAACCUGGGAACGGCAUCCGGAACUGUCCGGCUAGAGUGCAGGAGAGGAAGGUAGAAUUCCCGGUGUAGCGGUGAAAUGCGUAGAGAUCGGGAGGAAUACCAGUGGCGAAGGCGGCCUUCUGGACUGACACUGACGCUGAGGUGCGAAAGCGUGGGUAGCAAACAGGAUUAGAUACCCGAGUAGUC
rnacentral:rRNA from 1 species